UAGUACUUUUUUGAUGUGCUUACCUCUUU
rnacentral:piRNA from 1 species